AUGGGCAGACUUCUUCUAUGGCUGAGGCCGCUUUAUACAUUAUAUCUUUCAUUAUCCAAGAGGUAUUGCAAUGAAAUGAUAUCAUCAGAGGGAGCUAGGAUGGAAUGUUUGGCUCUUUAUCAGGGGGUGAUUUAAUACAAGUUUAGAUAGAUAGAUAGAAUUUUUUAUUGGCCAAGUGUGAUUGGACACACAAGGAAUUUGUCUUUGGUGCUCUCAGUGUACAUAAAAGAAAAGAUACGUUCAAGAAUCAUAAGGUACAACACUUAAUGAUAGUCAUGGGGUACAAAUAAGCAAUCAGGAAAUCAGUAAUCCUCAACCAUUGAUUUAGCAACCAUUCCAAAUUACAACAGUACUGAAAAAAAGGGGGACUUAUGAUUGUUUUUCACACUUACGACCGUUGCAGCAUCCCCGUGGUCACGUGAUCGAAAUUCCAGAUGCUUGGCAACUGGUUCAUAUUUAUGACGGUGGUCGUGUGAUCCCUUUUUGCGACCUUCUGACAGGCAAAGUUAUUGAGGGAAGCUAGAUUCAGUUAACAACUAAUGUAAUAACUGCAGUGAUUCAUUUAACAGCUGUGGCAAGAAAGGUCGUAAAAUGGGACAAAACUCACUUCACUACUGUCUUGCUUGGCAACAGAAAUUUGGGGCUGAAUUGAAGUCGUAAAUUGAGGACUACCUUGUCACAGAAAGAAGCAUUUUCUACAAUGACUCUACUGUAUGAAAUGCUUUUUCCUCAUUUUAUAAGACACUUCCCCCCCCUUGCACUGUUUUUUACCAUGUUUCCCCAAAAAUAAGACCUCCCCUGAAAAUAAGACCUC